GAUGAACGCUAGCUACAGGCUUAACACAUGCAAGUCGAGGGGAAACGAUAUUGGAAGCUUGCUUCCGAUAGGCGUCGACCGGCGCACGGGUGAGUAACGCGUAUCCAACCUGCCCAUCACUUGGGGAUAACCUUGCGAAAGUAAGACUAAUACCCAAUGACGUCUCUAGAAGACAUCUGAAAGAGAUUAAAGAUUUAUCGGUGAUGGAUGGGGAUGCGUCUGAUUAGCUUGUUGGCGGGGUAACGGCCCACCAAGGCGACGAUCAGUAGGGGUUCUGAGAGGAAGGCCCCCCACAUUGGAACUGAGACACGGUCCAAACUCCUACGGGAGGCAGCAGUGAGGAAUAUUGGUCAAUGGACGAGAGUCUGAACCAGCCAAGUAGCGUGCAGGAUGACGGCCCUAUGGGUUGUAAACUUCUUUUAUAAAGGAAUAAAGUCGGGUAUGGAUACCCGUUUGCAUGUACUUUAUGAAUAAGGAUCGGCUAACUCCGUGCCAGCAGCCG
rnacentral:rRNA from 1 species